rnacentral:rRNA from 1 species
AGUGAACGCUGGCGGUAGGCCUAACACAUGCAAGUCGAACGGCAGCACAGUAAGAGCUUGCUCUUACGGGUGGCGAGUGGCGGACGGGUGAGGAAUACAUCGGCAUCUACUUUUUCGUGGGGGAUAACGUAGGGAAACUUACGCUAAUACCGCAUACGACCUACGGGUGAAAGCAGGGGAUCUUCGCACCUUGCGCGAUUGACUGAGCCGAUGUCGGAUUAGCUAGUUGGCGGGGUAAAGGCCCACCAAGCCGACGAUCCGUAGCUGGUCUGAGAGGAUGAUCAGCCACACUGGAACUGAGACACGGUCCAGACUCCUACGGGAGGCAGCAGUAGGGAAUAUUGGACAAUGGGCGCAAGCCUGAUCCAGCCAUACCGCGUGAGUGAAGAAGGCCUUCGGGUUGUAAAGCCCUUUUGUUAGGAAAGAAAAGCAGCAGGUUAAUACCCCGCUGUUCUGACGGUACCCAAAGAAUAAGCACCGGCUAACUUCGUG